rnacentral:tRNA from 1 species
CCCAUGCUACCUGUAGCUCACUUAG